ensembl:piRNA 21ur-71 ncRNA
UUGGGAUUUCGCGAAAGCAUU